ACGAACGCUGGCGGCGUGCUUAACACAUGCAAGUCGAGCGGUAAGGCCCUUUUGGGGGUACACGAGCGGCGAACGGGUGAGUAACACGUGGGUGACCUGCCCUCAGCUCUGGGAUAAGCCUGGGAAACUGGGUCUAAUACUGGAUAUGACCUUUCCUCGCAUGGGGGUUGGGUGGAAAAGUUUUUUCGGCUGGGGGAUGGGCCCGCGGCCUAUCAGCUUGUUGGGUGGGUGAUGGCCUACCAAGGCGACGACGGGUAGCCGGCCUGAGAGGGCGACCGGCCACACUGGGACUGAGACACGGCCCAGACUCCUACGGGAGGCAGCAGUGGGGAAUAUUGCGCAAUGGGCGGAAGCCUGACGCAGCGAACGCCGCGUGGGGAUG
rnacentral:rRNA from 1 species